CUUCCCCGGGGGCCGCGGGUUCGAGUCCCGGCCCCGCCGCUUCCGCCUCCGGGGCCGGGCCGGGGUCGCGGCGCUGCCAUGUCCUGCCACUUCCAGAAGCUUUUUGGGACCGAUGGGGAGCUGGAGGACGAGGAUUUCCUCUCCGCUGUGGAAGAUGCAGAGAACCAGUUUGUGACCCCCGGGCAUUCCUCAUCCAACUUCGUCCCAGUUCCUCCCAGUGAGCCCCAUCCCAGUGAACCCCAUCCCAGUAACCCCCAUCCCAUUAAAGCCCCCACCCUCCGUGCCCCUCGCCGGGCAGGGGGAGCAUCCCGUGGGGUUCCAAGGACCCCCAUCGCGGGGGGCAGCCCCCCAGGAUGAGCUGGACAAUGACCUUUUCCUGGCUGCCUGCAGGGAGCUGGAGGGUCCCGAGGUGCCCGUGGGGGCUGGCGCUGCCCCGGUGCCCCCC
rnacentral:lncRNA from 1 species